rnacentral:rRNA from 1 species
AUUGAACGCUGGCGGCAGGCUUAACACAUGCAAGUCGAGCGAGCGGCGGACGGGUGAGUAAUGUCUGGGAAACUGCCUGGUGGAGGGGGAUAACUACUGGAAACGGUAGCUAAUACCGCAUACCAUCAGAUGUGCCCAGAUGGGAUUAGCUAGUAGGUGGGGUAAUGGCUCACCUAGGCGACGAUCCCUAGCUGGUCUGAGAGGAUGACCAGCCACCCUGGAACUGAGACACGGUCCAGACUCCGACGGGAGGAAGCAGUGGCGAAUAUUGCACAAUGGGCGCAAUCCUGAUACAGCCAUGCGGCGUGUGUGAAGACGGCCUUCGGGUUGUAAAGCACUUUCAGCGAGGAGGCGUUACUCGCAGAAGUAGCACCGGCUAACUCCGUUCCAGCCGCCGCGGUAAUAC